CCCCCCUCCACUUCCCUCUCUCUGUUGUGCGAGGAAAUCAGACCCAACAGACCAGAGUAGUGUAUCUGUGUAUCUGUAUGUGCGUUGUAUGCUUGGGGUCGGUGACUGUGAAGCCAUAAGUAGCCAUGUGUCAGAGCAACACCCCUCCUCCGCCGUCUUCUCCUUCCGAUCUCACACACAGGAAUUCUCUGAGUCGUCUCAGCACACCUCGCCGCAAAAACAGAACAAAAACCAGGAGGCCCAAGUUCCUGAGUCUCCGCCUCCAACUCUCAUCAAACCAGUCAGAUCCAAUGACACAUCAUCAGCAGCUCAACCUCUUCCCCUUACACCCUGAAAACUUGAUCCAUCACAAAGAUGUCACGAACGACGACACCAACGUGGCUUUCCUCUUCACUACCCACGGCCCCGCGACACUCAACGGCCUUCUCGAACAGGACUAUUCCUCCUCCACCACCACCAACACCACCGUGUCGGAGGAGGAUUCUAUGUCGCCACAGUGUUUGACGGCGUGCCCCUUCGACGAGGAGAACGGGAGAUCACUGGUACGGAAGGCCAUGAAGAGGAGGAACGAGGAGGAUGAAAGGGACGGGAGGGAGGAGAGGUGGGUGUGCUACUCGGAGGUCACAAGCUAUUGCAGCACCGCCACGACGGCGUCGUUCGGGUUGCUGUCCUUGAAGCUGGAUUACGAGGGCAUCUUAAAUGCCUGGUCUGACAAAGGUCCUCUUUACGUUCCGAGCGAGACACAGCAAACAGUCCCCGACUUCCUCGAUCACGUCCGUCCAAACCAUCCGCCACAUGUUGUGUGGGGGCACAGUAGUGUGGUGGAGAAGGCAUGGGAAGAGAGCGAGAAGAAGACGAAAGGGAAGGAAGGAAUGGGACGGAAGACGGGACAAAGGGAGGCAAGCGUGCUGAGAUACAAGGAGAAGAGGCAGAGCAGGCUCUUCUCCAAGCGAAUCCGCUACGAGGUUCGUAAGCUCAAUGCUGAGAAGCGCCCCAGGAUGAAGGGACGAUUUGUGAAGAGGGACUGAGAAGGGAAGGCUCUGGCGGGCAAUCCUUAGAAGAAUUCAAGAAGAACGUUGCUUCUCAGUAUUCCAGCUAGCGUCCUUUUAGAAUACCCGUUCCAUUUCUUUUUUUUUUUCCUGUAGAUUUGGGAGACAUCUUGAUUGUAAAUGUGACCAUUAAUGCCGUGCGAGGAACAAUAAACAGAUAAACAAACAAGCAAAAAGUAGCAGCAGUGUGUUUGACACUAGGGUAAAAAAAUUGCUGAUCCAUUCUAGUAUGGGCACCGUGGAGGAGAAAAGAACAAGGAAAUGUCUCUGUUUGCGUGGAACAGGAGGAAGGGGAAUGAGCAAGGCAGUGCAUAUGUGGUUGGGAGUCUGGUCCAGCACUGGCCCGUUGACCACGUCUUCUCUUGUAACUUAUGAAAAUACUAAAUAGAGAAUUGCAGAUACCCUGUAACACGUCUCAAUGGAAUUGAAUAGUUGUUCAAGGGACAGUCAGAGUGAGACGUGAUUAUCUUGGUAGUCGAAAUUUAUGAGCAGUGCGUGUCAUUUCCGUUGCAGCUGUUGAGGUGAUAAUCAUCGCUGAUGAUCACGUGAUAAUCUAGAUAUUAGAAAGCAGAUUCGCCCCUAAACCCAAGUUAGAGGCAUGAAAACUCCAAUACAACAAGCACCUGGCAAGUUACGGGAUUUAAGGCUACGUUACGCUUGUGGAAUUGUAGCUCGAUCUCUCCAAAAAUAACUCUCUCUGCUGCAA